ACUUAUGGCUCUAACGGUUAAAAGAAUAAGAAAAGUAACUCUUACCAACUUUAUAAAGAGUACAUAAUAUAUUGUAUUUCAAGUAAUAGUAAAAAUAGAGAUAUUAGUGAAGUUGUUGAAGAGAUCGUGUUAUUUUAAAGAGUGGUCAUUUUAGGAUAUUAAUUCAAUGAUUAACAAGAAAGUAGAAAUCGAAGAGGACAUAUUGGAGUGAAUUUGGAUAAGAUUGAGAAGUCUUGUAAGAAUUUUGUGUUGGUAGAAAGGUUCAUAAUAAGCUAUAAGGUCAGUUUAAACAAAUAGUUAUUAGACGUACUAUGUAACAUAGUAUUGAAUAUAAUUUUUAAAUCCAACUUGGACCGACCAAAUGAUCGGAACAAUUUUCUAACUAAACCAUACAAGAUAUUGACCCAUGAAAACUAGAUUGACUAGGUAAAAAUGACUCGACCACUCAAAAGCAGCAAGUGAAUCGGUUCAUUAAUAAUCUUAACUCUUAUUCUAUGUGUAGAUUUGGAAAAUAUGUUUUUUUUUUUCAAAACAAGCGUUCUUAUUUCCAAUUGCA
rnacentral:lncRNA from 1 species